rnacentral:rRNA from 1 species
AAACCAACCGGGAUUGCCUUAGUAACGGCGAGUGAAGCGGCAAAAGCUCAAAUUUGAAAUCUGGUACCUUCGGUGCCCGAGUUGUAAUUUGGAGAGGGCAACUUUGGGGCCGUUCCUUGUCUAUGUUCCUUGGAACAGGACGUCAUAGAGGGUGAGAAUCCCGUGUGGCGAGGAGUGCGGUUCUUUGUAAAGUGCCUUCGAAGAGUCGAGUUGUUUGGGAAUGCAGCUCUAAGUGGGUGGUAAAUUCCAUCUAAAGCUAAAUAUUGGCGAGAGACCGAUAGCGAACGAGUACAGUGAUGGAAAGAUGAAAAGAACUUUGAAAAGAGAGUGAAAAAGUACGUGAAAUUGUUGAAAGGGAAGGGCAUUUGAUCAGACAUGGUGUUUUGUGCCCUCUGCUCCUUGUGGGUAGGGGAAUCUCGCAUUUCACUGGGCCAGCAUCAGUUUUGGUGGCAGGAUAAAUCCAUAGGAAUGUAGCUUGCCUCGGUAAGUAUUAUAGCCUGUGGGAAUACUGCC